rnacentral:misc_RNA from 1 species
GAAAAAUCAGAAAGGAAUUUUUUUUCAUCUGAGGUGCUGCAUAGAACUUAAGAAUCAUGGGAGAGUGAUCAGAAAUUAUUGGCAAGUCGUAAUCCAUUCACACAUGUAAUCAUCCAAUCAAAAUUACCAAGAGUCCUGUCCAGCAUACUCUAUAUUCUAUUCGCCUCUGAUAGUUUGUUUUCCAUGUGAAAAUUUCUCCUUCUAAUGAUAGUUCGC